rnacentral:rRNA from 1 species
UACGUAGGUGGCAAGCGUUGUCCGGAAUUAUUGGGCGUAAAGCGUGCGCAGGCGGUUAUGUAAGACAGGUGUGAAAUCCCCGGGCUUAACCUGGGAACUGCAUUUGUGACUGCAUAGCUAGAGUACGGUAGAGGGGGAUGGAAUUCCGCGUGUAGCAGUGAAAUGCGUAGAUAUGCGGAGGAACACCGAUGGCGAAGGCAAUCCCCUGGACCUGUACUGACGCUCAUGCACGAAAGCGUGGGGAGCAAACAGG